rnacentral:rRNA from 1 species
GACGUACCGGACAAACGUUAUUCGGAUUCACUGGGCUUAAAGCGUGCGUAGGCUGCGCGGAAAGUGGGGUGUGAAAUCCCUCGGCUCAACCGAGGAAUUGCGCUUCAAACUACCGUGCUUGAGGAAGAUAGAGGUGAGCGGAACUAAUGGUGGAGCGGUGAAAUGCGUUGAUAUCAUUAGGAACACCAGAGGCGAAAGCGGCUCACUGGGUCUUUUCUGACGCUGAUGCACGAAAGCUAGGGGAGCAAACGGG